rnacentral:rRNA from 1 species
AAAACGACUCUCGGCAACCGAUAUCUCGGCUCUCGCAUCGAUGAAGAACGUAGCGAAAUGCGAUACUUGGUGUGAAUUGCAGAAUCCCGUGAACCAUCGAGUCUUUGAACGCAAGUUGCGCCCAAAGCCUUUUGGUUGAGGGCACGUCUGCCUGGGU